CUUACUCUUGGAUCCAAAGACAAGAAUAAAAAGAAAAGUCCAGGAUAUGGGGUAAUGGUGAGGACCAGCUCGAUUUCCUGCUCACAGGAGUUACUACUGAGACCAGAGGCAGGGCGAGGGAAAGAGGAGUUUUAUAUUUGAUUACUGGCCUCGAAGGAAGCAUUAAAGAGAGGAUGAUGGAAUGUUACAUUCUUUCCUCUCCAUGGCUCCUCAAACCUAUACACAGCACAAAGCAUAGAGAGGCCCUCUGAGCUCCUUCCAACCUUGUUUAUGCUCAGCAUAGAAGUAGUGCUAAUUUUUAUCUAAUAAUAAGUUCCAAAAGUCUACCUCCACUUCCAGAAACGGUUAGACGUUUCCAUGAAGAAUUUGGUUUUAAGGUGCGCAAUUGUUAAAAUACCUCACAGGGCUUUCCUGGUGGCUCAGUGGUAAAUAAUUGGCCUGCCAGUGCAGGAGACAAGGGAUUGAUCUCUGAUACGGGAAGAUCUCACAUGCCACAAAGCAACUAAGUCCAUGUUCCACAACUAUUGAGCCUGUGCUCUAGAGCCCACAUGCUGUACCCACUGAAGCCGGUAUACCUUAAAGCCCGAGCUCCACCGCAAUAAAGCCACCACAAUGAGAAGCCCACGCAUUACAACUAGAGAGUAGCCCCUGCUCAUCACAAGUAGAGAAAGCCUGCAUGCAGCAAUGAAGACCCAGCACAGCCAAAAAUAAGUAAAUACAGUUAUUUAAAAAACACUUUACAAAAUACUAAUGACUCUGUGUGUGUGUGUGUGUGUGUGUGUGUGUGUGUGUGUGUGUGUAGACAGAGAUAGAGACACAAAUUAGUUCACCCAACAUACCAGCUGCUUUUUCCUUUGCUCAUCAAACCAAUCUAAGAUAUACCAAGAGGAAAGGGACUUGGGGUCAUCAAAAUCUUCACAAUGAAAGCCAAGCGGAGUUGUGUACAAGAGAAUUAAGACUGGGCUGGUAUUAAAGACCCCAAAGGACUGCCUGGAAAAAUCACAUUUGGAAUGUGCCUCGAAGACAAAUGCUCUGUCAUAAAAUUUGGGUAGACAAAGGAAAUAGUGGCAGCCCCUGAGUUUGCUUCUGGGCCCUGGAUUUUGAGGGACUCCUGGACAAACUUGAUAGAGACUACUCAGAGGAGGGGCUUCCUUUGUGGUUCAGACAGUAAAGAAUCUGCCUGCAAUACAGGUUCCAUCCCUGUAUUGUAUUGUUCAUCCCAAGGGUCAGGAAGAUCCCCUGAAAAAGGGAAUGGCAUCCCACUCCAGUAUUCUUGCCUGGGAAAUUCCACGGACAGAGGAGCCUGAAGGUCUGCAGUCCAUAGGGUCGCAGAGUCAAGACGCGACUGAGCAACUAGUGACUUAAACCCUGCCUCAAGGAAAACAAUUGGACACUUAAAGAUGAAAAGAAUAAGAAAGCGCCAUCCCCCACCCUAGCCUCUG
ensembl:lncRNA